rnacentral:rRNA from 1 species
GUCCUAGCUGUAAACGAUGGAUACUAGGCGUUGCAGGUAUCGACCCCUGCAGUGCCGCAGUUAACGCGAUAAGUAUCCCGCCUGAGUAGUACGGCCGCAAGGUUGAAACUCAAAGGAAUUGACGGGGGCCCCGCACAAGCGGUGGAACAUGUGGUUUAAUUCGAAGCAACGCGAAGAACCUUACCAAGGCUUGACAUCUAGAGAACCAUUCGGAAACGAGUGGGUGCCCGCAAGGGAGCUCUAAGACAGGUGGUGCAUGGCUGUCGU